UGCAGUCGAACGGAUCCAGAUCAAGCUUGCUUUGGUUUGGUGAGAGUGGCGCACGGGUGCGUAACGCGUGAGCAACCUACCCUUGUCAGGGGGAUAGCCCGGCGAAAGUCGGAUUAAUACCGCAUGACAUCAUUGAGAGGCAUCUUUCGAUGAUCAAAGAUUUAUCGGACAAGGAUGGGCUCGCGUGACAUUAGCUAGUUGGUAAGGUAACGGCUUACCAAGGCUACGAUGUCUAGGGGCUCUGAGAGGAGAAUCCCCCACACUGGUACUGAGACACGGACCAGACUCCUACGGGAGGCAGCAGUAAGGAAUAUUGGUCAAUGGGCGGAAGCCUGAACCAGCCAUGCCGCGUGCAGGAUGACUGCCCUAUGGGUUGUAAACUGCUUUUGUCCGGGAAUAAACCUCCUUACGUGUAGGGAGCUGAAUGUACCGGAAGAAUAAGGAUCGGCUAACUCCGUGCCAGCAGCCGCGGUAAUACGGAGGAUCCGAGCGUUAUCCGGAUUUAUUGGGUUUAAAGGGUGCGUAGGCGGCCCGUUAAGUCAGGGGUGAAAUACGGUGGCUCAACCAUCGCAGUGCCUUUGAUACUGACGGGCUUGAAUCCAUAUGAAGUGGGCGGAAUAAGACAAGUAGCGGUGAAUGCAUAGAUAUGUCUUAGAACUCCGAUUGCGAAGCAGCUCACUAAGCUGGUAUUGACCUGAUGCACGAAGCGU
rnacentral:rRNA from 1 species